rnacentral:rRNA from 1 species
UACGGAGGGUGCAAGCGUUGUCCGGAUUUAUUGGGUUUAAAGGGUGCGUAGGCGGUUCUUUAAGUCUGGGGUGAAGCCCGUUGCUCAACAACGGAACUGCCCUGGAAACUGGAGGACUUGAGUACAGACGAGGGUGGCGGAAUGGAUGGUGUAGCGGUGAAAUGCGUAGAUAUCGGGAGGAACAUCAGUGGCGAAGGCGGCUACCUGGCCCAAUACUGACACUCAGGUGCGACAGCGU